AGCGAACGCUGGCGGCAUGCCUAACACAUGCAAGUCUGACGGGCGGGGGGCAACCUCUGUCAGUGGCGGACGGGUGAGGAACGCGUAGGAACGUAUCCAAGGGUGGGGGACAACCGCGGGAAACUGCGGCUAAAUACCGCAUGGGGGCCUUUAGGGAGACCUGAAAGGGGGAGACCUGGGGGCCAAAGGCUGGGGAGACCUAGUCGCCUGUGGAGCGGCCUGCGUCCGAUUAGCUAGUUGGUGGGGNACGGCUUACCAAGGCAGCGAUCGGUAGCUGGUCUGAGAGGAUGAUCAGCCACACUGGGACUGAGACACGGCCCAGACUCCUACGGGAGGCAGCAGUGGGAGUAUUGGACAAUGGGCGAAAGCCUGAUCCAGCAAUGCCGCGUGGGUGAAGAAGGUCUUCGGAUUGUAAAGCCCUUUCGGCGGGGACGAUGAUGACGGUACCCGCA
rnacentral:rRNA from 1 species